GAUGAACGCUGGCGGCGUGCCUAAUACAUGCAAGUCGAGCGAACGGACGAGAAUCUUGCUUCUCUGAUGUUAGCGGCGGACGGGUGAGUAACGCGUGUAUAACCUACCUAUAAGACUGGUAUAACUUCGGGACACCGGCGCUAAUACCGGAUAAUCUUUUGCACCGCGUGGUUCAAAAGUGAAAGACGGUCUUGGUGUCACUUCUCGCUGGAUCCGCGCUGCAUUAGCUAGUUGGUAAGGUAACGGCUUACCAAGGCAACGAUGCAUAGCCGACCUGUGAGGGGGAUCGGCGACACUGGAACUGAGACACCGUCCAGACUCCUACGGGAGGCAGCAGUAGGGAAUCGUCCGCAAAGGGCGAAAGCAUGACGGAGCAGCGCCGCGUGAGUGAUGAAGGUCCUCGGAGCGGAAAACUCUGUUAUGAGGGAAGAACAGAUGUGUAAGGAAAUGUGCACAUCUUGACGGUACUUAAUCAGAAAGCCACGGCUAACUACGUG
rnacentral:rRNA from 1 species